AGCUGUGAAGGUGUGCUGUGAGGCAUGCUGGAGGUAUCAGAAGUGCGAAUGCUGACAUAAGUAACGAUAAAGCGGGUGAAAAGCCCGCUCGCCGGAAGACCAAGGGUUCCUGUCCAACGUUAAUCGGGGCAGGGUGAGUCGACCCCUAAGGCGAGGCCGAAAGGCGUAGUCGAUGGGAAACAGGUUAAUAUUCCUGUACUUGGUGUUACUGCGAAGGGGGGACGGAGAAGGCUAUGUCGGCCGGGCGACGGUUGUCCCGGUUUAAGCGUGUAGGCUGACUUUCCAGGCAAAUCCGGAGAGUUAAGGCUGAGGCGUGAUGACGAGGCACCACGGUGCUGAAGUGACAAAUGCCCUGCUUCCAGGAAAAGCCUCUAAGCAUCAGGUAACAUCAAAUCGUACCCCAAACCGACACAGGUGGUCAGGUAGAGAAUACCAAGGCGCUUGAGAGAACUCGGGUGAAGGAACUAGGCAAAAUGGUGCCGUAACUUCGGGAGAAGGCACGCUGACAUGUAGGUGAAG
rnacentral:rRNA from 1 species